GACGAACGCUAGCGGCGUGCUUAACACAUGCAAGUCGAACGGAAAGGCCCUGCUUUUGUGGGGUGCUCGAGUGGCGAACGGGUGAGUAACACGUGAGUAACCUGCCCUUGACUUUGGGAUAACUUCAGGAAACUGGGGCUAAUACCGGAUAGGAGCUCCUGCUGCAUGGUGGGGGUUGGAAAGUUUCGGCGGUUGGGGAUGGACUCGCGGCUUAUCAGCUUGUUGGUGGGGUAGUGGCUUACCAAGGCUUUGACGGGUAGCCGGCCUGAGAGGGUGACCGGCCACAUUGGGACUGAGAUACGGCCCAGACUCCUACGGGAGGCAGCAGUGGGGAAUAUUGCACAAUGGGCGGAAGCCUGAUGCAGCAACGCCGCGUGCGGGAUGACGGCCAUCGGGUUGUAAACCGCUUUCGCCUGUGACGAAGCGUGAGUGACGGUAAUGGGUAAAGAAGCACCGGCUAACUACGUG
rnacentral:rRNA from 1 species